CCUACCUCGUAUCCCAACAUCAAUAGCAUGUAAUACCAUAGACAUGGGCAUAUAAGACAGUCAAUGAAAAAUAAUAAUGACAUGUAUCUAAAAGUAUAUCAUACUACACCAAGCAACCAAAGCAAUAAUCCAUACCAACCAACUAUAUCAAAGUAAAGUAUCAGGAUAGAAAUUCAUCAUACCAUUCAAGAAAAAGGUGACAUGCAAUUAUGAUAACCCAAACCCAUCCUACAUGUGCAAAUGUGUCAAAUUAAGCCUUAUUUAUCUAAAACCUAAGCUCUGAUGCCAACUAAAAAUUAUGUAAAUUUUCUAGCAGUAAGAUCUUUUAUUGUCUUCAUAGUUGGAAGAUCCAAUUCAGCCAUUUACUAUAUGAAAAACACCAAUGAGCAGACCUGCUCAAUCUGCCAGGAAAACAUGAAUAGUCAUAAUAAUCCGGCAAUAUCUCGAGUUCCACUCCACCAAAAAUUACAAUUAAAUACAAUUUGGAAAGCUUAUUAAAUCCUCUAAGACUUUCUAAUGUAUCUCAGGUCUCAAUUCAGCUCCUAACAUAUCCAAAACCCAUGCCCUAGAUAGACUACCAAAUCUGCCACAAAACCACAACUAGAAACGAAGUUAAACUCCAAUCCAACCUCUAGUCCUCUAAUCCCCCAUAGCCAAAACCUCCAAAAACACUUAAUUACAGGGGAAGGAGAUGGAUCCAACUGUUACCCAAGGCUUCCCCAUGAAAAUCCGCAAGGGGAAGUUGGGGGAACACCGAUUUAGCAUAUCUCCUUGAUCCUCUCUUGCUCCUGAAUCCAUUUUGCUCCUUCUCUUCUCGAUCCUUGCUGCAGUUAAGGAGAUCUAGAGGGGGAGAGGGGUAGUAGAGGGAGGAGGAGGCAUGUUGGGGGAGGGAUUUCCUGAGGAUGGUGAAAGGGGCGGCCAGAAAGGGGUAGAGGUAAGGAUUACAUGCCUCGUCUAUUUUUCUUGAUUCAUCUCAUCCCUUCAUUCUUUGGUUGCACAAAACUUCAUGAUGUUAAAUCUGAAUACUACAUGUGAGUAGUCAAACAGAUUGCUUUCGUAGAGAUCUAUGCAUCCACUUUCACCGAUCUUCUAUAUGAACUAUGGAUUAAAAAGUCAACUUUUGCCCUUCUUUAAAACACCCGAUCAACAUUUACCCCCUUUACGCUUUGUAACACAGAAGGCAUACUUUGUUCAAAAGCACAAUCUAUUAGUUCAUAGACAACCAAUCAUAAAAACAAUGAUUCAACUAUCUGAUGAACCAUACACCAUUAAUUCCACUUCAAUUUUUGGGUCGUUAAAGCAGUUGUUAG
rnacentral:lncRNA from 1 species